rnacentral:rRNA from 1 species
CACGUAGGGCGCAAGCGUUGUCCGGAAUUAUUGGGCGUAAAGAGCUCGUAGGUGGUUUGUUACGUCUGCUGUGAAAACCUAGGGCUUAACCCUGGGCUUGCAGUGGAUACGGGCAGACUAGAGGUAGGUAGGGGAGAAUGGAAUUCCUGGUGUAGCGGUGAAAUGCGCAGAUAUCAGGAGGAACACCGGUGGCGAAGGCGGUUCUCUGGGCCGAUACUGACGCUGAGGAGCGAAAGCGUGGGGAGCGAACAGG